AACAAAGUUCUACUGUACUUGUUAACCAUUCAGUGGUUUCUCUUGUUUGUAUUUUGUCAGCCCAGAAGAUUGGAAACAUUUAUAGCAAUGUUGCCUCAUUGGAUGAAUUCCACAUCUGAGUAUCAAGAUGAGCUAUUGUCAGCAAUGUGAAAAAUACGCAAAUUAAUGGUAUCCUGGAUUGCCCCUCCACAAAUGCACUUAACAUGAACACCCAGGGGAUGAUUGAUGAUGACUUCAAGAAUGCUGAGCAUUCUUUGCAAACCUCAACCAAGUAGUCAAACUUCAGAAAUGAAUCCUGGAAAAUUCAGCCAAACAUUCCUCAGAUAAGAAUUCUGCUGAUUGCAGUCAGUUAAAUUCACCAAUCCCAGCUGUGCUUGAGGGGAGCGUGGAAUGGCAAAGCAGAUGUGAGAGGAACUCAACAGAACCAAGAGAGGGAUUCUAAAGAAUUGCAUCUUUAACACAGCGUGAAACUCACAGGUUGAUAUCCAUGGCACUGUGUCGAAAGAACAGGAGGAAGGCUAAAGGCAGACCUCACAACAUUACGCUAAGUGCCUUCAUGUACCAAUGUCAAAAUUAUGCAAACUUCUGAAUGGACAUCUACAUUACCAGAGACUGUGACGAGCACAAAAGCUUUUGUGCUUUAAUGGGAACAAUUGGAAAAAAGGAUUUUGCUCACUAUGCAGUGUCCCAUUAUCAAGCUGCCAUUGCACUCCAUAGGUUGCAGUUCAGGCCUACUGACUCAGUUUGUUUGUCCUUAUGUUGCAAAGCAUGAAUGGAAAUGCUGCUUUGAUAAAACUAU